AUUCCAGCUCCAAUAGCGUAUAUUAAAGUUGUUGCAGUUAAAACGCUCGUAGUCGGAUUUCGGGGCGGGCCGACCGGUCUGCCGAUGGGUAUGCACUGGCCGGCGCGUCCUUCCACCCGGAGACCGCGCCUACUCUUAACUGAGCGGGCGCGGGAGACGGGUCUUUUACUUUGAAAAAAUCAGAGUGUUUCAAGCAGGCAGUCGCUCUUGCAUGGAUUAGCAUGGGAUAAUGAAAUAGGACUCUGGUGCUAUUUUGUUGGUUUCGAACACCGGAGUAAUGAUUAACAGGGACAAUUGGGGGCAUUAGUAUUCAGACGACAGAGGUGAAAUUCUUGGACCGUCUGAAGACUGACUACUGCGAAAGCAUUUGCCAAGGAUGGUUUCAUCA
rnacentral:rRNA from 1 species